UAUGGCAGAUUAGUGCAUUGGAUUUAAAUUCCUAUUAUAAAGAAUUAACUCUUUUAUUAAUA
rnacentral:tRNA from 1 species